ACUUCCUCCAAUUCCCUUGAGAAGGGACAGAGCCAAAACCUAUCAGUUCAAUUCAGAUAAUAAUGGCGAAGGGUAAAAAAGAGCUGCUGGCGUCCAUGGAGGGUGGAGGAAAAGGAAGAGAAGUUCAAAGACAUUGAAAGUGACGAACCAGCCAGGUACAACGCCCAAAAUGCACGUCCCUGGAAAGAAGUAUAAAAACGACGACGUUGCAGAAGAAUCCCUCACUGAAAUCGAUCCCGAACUCCGCUACAGCUUCCAGCGCAAUUUUCAAGUAACUGAAUUAAUAUAUUCGUUUAAACUAUUUGUAUAUAUGCGUGUAUGUAUAUGUUUUGGGUUAACUAUAUGAGAACCCGUUUGGUAAAAUGUGGUAUAUUUCUGUGUUUUUCUGGUGGAAAUUUUAUUAUUAUGCGAGAAAGUUACAAUCUUUGUGGCCUGACGAACAACUCGAUAAUGAUAGUGUCUGCUGGGAUUGUGGGUUUUAUUUUUAUUGUGUUGUGUUCUUACAUCUUAUGGUUGCUCAUAAAUAAGCAUCGAGGUCUUAGAGUGAAUUAAACUCUAUAUUUUAUUUUUAGUGCAUUGUUUUGGUUUAAGCAGGCUUAGCAUAGUUUAAUAAAGUUGGAGACUGGUUCGAACUUUAGUUGGGCUAGUUUUGUGAUUCUAAAUUGAAUGAAACGAGUAAUCAAGAAUGUGAUUGCUUUUCCUCCUCUCACCUUAUCUGAGUGCUGCAACCUGUCUUUAAUUCGAUUGUGUCCUUUCUUCUGGUAAUCUCUCCAUCACUUCCACUUGUCCUCCUUUCUUUGACAUCCAUAACCAUCCUCCUUGGAAAACCCUUGUCCACUAACAUUACCUCCUAAAGCCUUCCGAACUUAAAAUAGUUUUUCCCCAGUUUCAUUCAUCGAAAGAGUUAAGGGUCGCCUGGAGAAUUAGAAAGAAAUAUGACCUUUGCAAUAUAUCUCCUUUUGUCAAAAGAAAGGAACCUCUAGGAGGACGGAGGAUAUAUUACGGUUCCCACGCGUCAGUUUACAAUGCUUACCACUGUCUCUAUCAAAUUGUGCUCAGCUCAACAUAAGCCAAUGUUAACUCAAUCCCUGCAUACACUCACUCCUUGCUUUCGCAAUUGUUAGCCUCUGGGGUGGUGACAGGUCCAUGGUCAUCUUAAUCACUUGCAUGAGUACAUCUUCUUGGAGUGACUCUUUAUACAAAGCAAUGACGGAUGCUCGUUAACAAAGAUUCCAAUCAGCAACUUAUGACAAUUAAGAAUUAUUGAAGAGAGAGAGACGAGACAAGGAAGAGAAAGUCGAGAGAGAAAUUGUAAUGGUAUUCAAUAAUCAAUGUGUAUUUUUUAAAACAGUUAACCAUUUAUGUUUAGGGGUUUAAACAAUCCUAACCUAGGUAGAAAAUUAAGAAAUCUAAUUUAAAUAGAAAACAAAGGAAAUAAGCCUAUUCUAAUACGAACUAGAAUUAAAGAGGCCCCAAUAUUUAAUUUUUUUUGGCCUCAAUAUACUUUAAUCUCUGCAUCGUAAAGUCUUUGUCUAUAACAAAUUGUUUUAACUUCCUGCCAAGGCUGACUGAUAGAUAAGAUAUCCAGCAUUUAAUGCCUGCUGAUUAAGCAAUUCCUCUCAUCCUAAUAAAGCAUGUUCUACUCGAGUUCGUUACUUAUCCCUUUCCUCUAAAAAUACUUCAUCUGAUCCAUCCACCCAAGCUGUACCAAAGUCUGUCACUAUUUUCAUUCUGAUAACCUUUGUCAUUAUUGACCGUGGUUGCCAGUGGUAUGCCACCAGUUUUUCUUCAACUGAUAUCGAAACGAACAUUGCAUUCAUUGUACAGAUGUUAUUAGCAUCUAAUGUUAUAUCCUGUGCAAUUUAUUAUCUAAGAUGUGUUGCUGUCAUUGAUGUAAUUCUUUCGCAUGUGUGCAGUUUCUUGGUCGUGUUUUCAGCGUCGAUACCGUCGUCAAACCUCUUCCUCCUGCAAUGGCAUACAACGUCUCUGGCAACAUGAGCUUCUUCACAUGAAUCUUUACACAGUUCUUUGGUAAGUUGAAUUCUCUGAGUGUGUAUUUUCUGGUGCUGCCCUUUGAUUUUAAUAGAAAAAGACAAUAUGAUUAGGGUCUUCUUGUUACUUCUACUUUUCUUUUGUUUCCCUCUCAUGGGAUGGUAUUAGCUUCAAUUCAGUGACUUCUUGCUUCUCUAUUGGUUAGAUUAGCUUCCCAUGUACAUGUGGCAAAGAUUAUUACAAUUAAGCACGAUCCAUAGAUAAUUAACACAUAUUAAACAUUAACCUGCCAAUAACAAGACCUGACAUAAGAUGGAAGAAAUAAGCAAAUAUGACAUCAGACGAUGAGCUCGUAUUUCAGAUGAAAAUAG
rnacentral:lncRNA from 1 species